GUAUUAGUUAGGGUCUUGAAACUCAAAGAAUUUGGCGGUAUUGUAGUCUUUUCAGAGGAAUCUGUUUCGUUAUUGAUAAUACACGAUUUGUUUUACUUUGAUUUGUGAAGUUUGUAUACCGCCGUCAUAAAAUUGUCUUGUUUGAGAGGUGAAAUUUUUGUGAGUCAAUAGUUUGUAGGAUGUCAGGUCAAGGUGCAGCUUAUGUUGAAGGGAUUAAUGGAUUACAAAAGAUUUAUUUAUACGGAUGAUGUAUGUAAGAUAAAGUUAGUUGGAAGGUGGAUUUGAUUGUAAAUUUAUUUAUAGAUAAGUUGAUUUUGGCUCUAUAAUGUGUACACAUCGCCCGUCGCUCUCGCUUUUAUGUGAG
rnacentral:rRNA from 1 species